rnacentral:lncRNA from 1 species
GUGAGCGGGUUCCGGUUGUCUGGAGCCCAGCGGCGGGUGUGAGAGUCCGUAAGGAGCAGCUUCCAGGAUCCUGAGAUCCGGAGCAGCCGGGGUCGGAGCGGCUCCUCAAGAGUUACUGAUCUAUGAAAUGGCAGAGAAUGGAAAAAAUUGUGACCAGAGACGUGUAGCAAUGAACAAGGAACAUCAUAAUGGAAAUUUCACAGACCCCUCUUCAGUGAAUGAAAAGAAGAGGAGGGAGCGGGAAGAAAGGCAGAAUAUUGUCCUGUGGAGACAGCCGCUCAUUACCUUGCAGUAUUUUUCUCUGGAAAUCCUUGUAAUCUUGAAGGAAUGGACCUCAAAGGUCCACAUAUAGCCUCAGUUACAUUAGCUGCUUAUGAAUGCAAUUCAGUUAAUUUUCCCGAACCACCCUAUCCUGAUCAGAUUAUUUGUCCAGAUGAAGAGGGCACUGAAGGAACCAUUUCUUUGUGGAGUAUCAUCUCAAAAGUUAGGAUUGAAGCCUGCAUGUGGGGUAUCGGUACAGCAAUCGGAGAGCUGCCUCCAUAUUUCAUGGCCAGAGCA